rnacentral:rRNA from 1 species
CACGGGGGGAGCAAGCGUUGUUCGGAAUUACUGGGCGUAAAGGGUUUGUAGGUGGCUUGCUAAGUCAGACGUGAAAUCCCUCAGCUUAACUGGGGAACUGCGUCUGAUACUGGAUGGCUUGAGUUCGGGAGAGGGAUGCGGAAUUCCAGGUGUAGCGGUGAAAUGCGUAGAUAUCUGGAGGAACACCGGUGGCGUAGGCGGCAUCCUGGACCGACACUGACACUGAGGAGCGAAAGCCAGGGGAGCAAACGGG